AGAGAAUUUCAGUAUAUCCCCGCGGGGCGCUGGAACUUCGUCUGGGUGCAUUUGUUUUUAUAAGCCUGGGUACUGCAGAGUCAUUUAAAAACAUGUGCUUGCCAGGGCAGAACAUCAUCUGAUGGCAGCAAUCACCUGGUGCUAGCCACGACUGAGGAGGGAACACAUCAGGAAAAAGCAACACUUCUCUCCAUCUGCGAGAGGUGGACGCCAAGGCCCCGUUCAUUCCACCACCUCAAAUGUAAAUAAAUAGAGCCCUGGCCUUCCUACAGGGUUCUGUUGCUCCUUUCAUAAUGUGAGAUCCCUCUAGAUCCGGCAGGAGAACUUCUCUAAGGCCAUCAUAAAGGCAGUAGGAAGUACUGAUCUCAAACAGCACAGAGGAGGCUCCCCUCCAAAGAAGAGUGAAGCACAUCGUUAGAGAAUAAGAACACAGGGGGAAAUUAAGAGGUGAUCUUCAAAGUCUACAAUGAACAGCUCCUCUCUGCUUUCACACACUGUACAAGAAAAGACCUCCUUCAGUUCAGGAGGCUUUGGUUAACAGCCACAUUCUCAAUAUUCUGGGUUUCAAGGCCAAGAAAAUAAAUGUCACGGUGGAAACCUCAUGCUUUUUCAGGUGAUAUAAUCCAAAAAAAUGUGUACAUCUCAAUAGUAUAAAGGACUCUGAAUCAGCCAGGGCUCAACUUGCCAUUCUCUUCCUUGCCUGCAAGACUUGACCUUGAGUUUCAGUGUCUCUC